rnacentral:rRNA from 1 species
UACGUAGGGGGCUAGCGUUGUCCGGAAUCAUUGGGCGUAAAGCGCGUGUAGGCGGUUCGGUAAGUCCGCUGUGAAAGUCGGGGGCUCAACCCUCGGAUGCCGGUGGAUACUGUCGGGCUUGAGUACGGAAGAGGCGAGUGGAAUUCCUGGUGUAGCGGUGAAAUGCGCAGAUAUCAGGAGGAACACCAAUUGCGAAGGCAGCUCGCUGGGACGUUACUGACGCUGAGGAGCGAAAGCGUGGGGAGCAAACAGG